GACGAACGCUGGCGGCGUGCUUAACACAUGCAAGUCGAACGGUAAGGCCCUUCGGGGUACACGAGUGGCGAACGGGUGAGUAACACGUGGGUGAUCUGCCCUGCACUUCGGGAUAAGUCUGGGAAACUGGGUCUAAUACCGGAUAGGACUCCGGACUGCAUGGUCUGGGGUGGAAAGCUUUUGCGGUGUGGGAUGGGCCCGCGGCCUAUCAGCUUGUUGGUGGGGUGAUGGCCUACCAAGGCGACGACGGGUAGCCGGCCUGAGAGGGUGACCGGCCACACUGGGACUGAGAUACGGCCCAGACUCCUACGGGAGGCAGCAGUGGGGAAUAUUGCACAAUGGGCGCAAGGCUGAUGCAGCGACGCCGCGUGAGGGAUGACGGCCUUCGGGUUGUAAACCUCUUUCAGCAUCGACGAAGCGAAAGUGACGGUAGGUGCAGAAGAAGGACCGGCCAACUACGUGCCAGCCGCCGCUGUAA
rnacentral:rRNA from 1 species